rnacentral:rRNA from 1 species
UACGUAGGGUGCGAGCGUUGUCCGGAAUUAUUGGGCGUAAAGGGCUCGUAGGCGGUCUGUCACGUCGGGAGUGAAAACACGGGGCUUAACCCCGUGCCUGCUUCCGAUACGGGCAGACUAGAGGUAUGCAGGGGAGAACGGAAUUCCUGGUGUAGCGGUGAAAUGCGCAGAUAUCAGGAGGAACACCUGCGGUGUAGACGGCUUCUGGACCAUGCUGACGCUGAGACACGAAAGCGUGGGUAGCAAACAGG